UUACCUGCUGUAACUUCAUCAUUGUCAUCCCCGUCACCUUCAGGAUGCAUAUUCCUUCCACCCCUUCUGAGCUCACGUGCAGUCCUCAUGGACAGACAGUCCCCAUACAGACAGACAGCCUCUCACCUCAAGUGCCUGGCUCUCUCUUUUCCUCUGGCCGAGGACUUCCUUGGGUGUUAGCUGGUCCACAGCAGGGGCCUGAUCAGUGAUGCACCUUUGUUGACCCUUCCCCCAUCCCUGUCUUACUUGGCCUCCCUCACCUGUGCUUCUUGGGAUCUGCUCCCUCCCUGCUCCCCUGUCAUGGUUUCCGUGUCUUGUUUGGGGGGAACCACACUAAGGCAGUCAUCAGCUCAGGUUCUCAUUAUCUCAGGGCCAGUCUUACAGGAACCUCCUGCCUGGUUUCUCUGUCUUCUCUUCCGUACCACGACCAGAGCCAUCUCAGUCUAACGUGAGUAUGGAGUUAAGACUUACCUGCUUAAAGUCUGCAUUGCUUCCUUCUUGCCCAAAGGCCGAGACUGUGCUUAGUCUUACCAUAAAGAGCUUUCCCAAAUUCCCCAGCGCCUACCGUACCAGCCUCACCUCUUACUAGUUAUGCUGUUCACCAACCGGUAAACAUACCAUUCCCCUUUGUACUUCUGUGUCCUAACAUGUGCUCUUUCUCCUGAUGGCAGUAGUUAAUUGCAGUGAAUGGUGAUUGACCACCUAUGUGGCAACAAGCAGAGUUCUGUGUAAUCUGCAUGGAUUAGUUCACUUAGUCCUCAAUUUAUUUAGAAAGUUUUAAUAGUCUCCCCGAAUCAGAGAAGUAGAAACUAAGGCUUGGGAAGCCACCUCCUUCAUGGCACAGUUGGGUAAUUCCAGUCGAUGCCCCAUACUUGGCAGGUAAGUGUCACCACUCACACCAAGUUAACACAGAAGAAAUCAGCUUUGCUCACCUGGGCGAGAGAGAAAAAGGAGAAAGAUAAUGGUGUGUGUGGGGGGGUGCCUGCCAGUCUACCCCAUGCCUGCGUGCUCCCAGUGGGGAGAGGGCGAGGCCUGAGUUGGCUGGUACCCUCCGUUGCUGGGCCCCUCGUCCUGGGAGCACCUGGCCAGCUGAGUGAGAUCACAGUGCUUACUCAUUCACGACGUUCAUAUGACAGGGCCUCCCAAACACCUGCCAGAGACUUUUCAGGGCCAACAGUGACCUCUGACAGGCUGGCUCUGUGGGGUCUAAUCCAUGAAUGAAGUGAGACUCUGUGGUCCUGCUCCCUAUUCCGUGUUCCCACCUGGUAGACACCUGCUCCUCUCUUCUGACCCAGGUCACACACACCCUCUUCUGGGACGCUUUCCCCACCUCCCUUAGGAAGAACUGGGCUCCCAGGGCAGCCUGUAUGGAUUCCCUUCAGUGCUCUCCCCUGGCACCUUCUCACACUCCACUUCUGCGCUGGGCUCCAGGGCAAAGUAAUGCGUUCCUUAGCAGAGGUCUCCUCUCCCUUCUUCCCCAGGACCUGCUGCAGCCCCUCCUCUGCUCAGGGAUUCAGCAACUCUCUUCUCUGGUUGGUUGUCAGAAGGCAGGUCUCCAAACCUUCUAGAAAAAAGGAAUGAGAUGAAUUCCGAACAGUUAUUAAAACCAAUCAUGCUCUUCUAGAAUCGAGAGACCAAGAAUACUCUCUGUCUUCUUUGUCAGUCUCUUUGAUCGAUCUCUCUCUUUUUCUAUGAGAGUACUAUUUGAUCAUAGGACUUAGAAGAAGCCAGCUUCUGCAGGGCAGUGUGGUCUGUUGAGUUUUCCUCGUGAGAUUUAUGGGAACAUGUUUUUGUUAACUAUUUUCCUACUCAGAUUAAAGACCUCCCCACCAGGCAUCCAGAACCCCCCCAAACCCCGAAAUUGGCACCAUCUAUGAAGGGUUUCCAAGUUACCAUUUUGUUUUUCUGUCUCCUGAAAGAUGUGGUUUCCGGUUGUGUGCCUCAUUCUAAGCUGCUUCAUUUGUUUUUGGACUGAUCAAUUGCAUAGCCACCCAAACUUGACAGAAAUGUCAAAGUCACAAUCUCUGGAAGUGCAGCACCAAGGCACUAAUUAGUGCAUGUUUUCCAUAAGACUGAGCCUCCAAUCCACAAUCACAUCUUCCUUGUUUUCUGUCUCACCCUUGACUCUGCUAGCAAGCCUUGCUUUUCCUUUGGAUACAGGGGAUUUGUUAUGAGCAAAGAGCCUUUGCCUGUACUUCACCUGCUGGAUGGAAUGAAUAAAAGUCUCAGGGGAGGAUCUAAACAUUGAAAAAAUAUAAGCUCAACCCCCCACCCCCCCGCAAGUUUUAUGUCUGGAAUAGAUUUUACAGUCCAGAUUUGUACCGGGGCCAGGAACAUGCAUGCUGAUACUGAUGACUUGUGUUCUUUGGCAGAGGGUCUGGAGAAGUGAUAGAAGUCCGUCAUUGAGGGUGGGAAGGGGGGAGAGAGGAUGACGGUGCUGCGGAGCUUCCACUUGGCUCGCUGCGGGCUGGAGAGUGGGCUCUACCCAAUUUCCCUCUUCCAUCGCUGGCCUCUUCCCCACUGGCUGUCCUCAGGUCACACCAUGCACCCACCCCACCCCACCCCCCAUCUCCACUCUUGGCGCCACUGGCACUGUGCUCGCUCCUGCCAUAGGACCUUAGCACAUGCUGCUGAUUCUAUCUGGAAUGUUCUUCGCAGCCCUCUCUCCACCUCUUUACCUAGUCAACUCUCACUCUUCCUGCACACUUCAGCUCCCUGCCUCAGGGAUGCCCAUAAGUUCAAUGCCCCGUUAUAUGUUCUGAGGACACUGGGCACUUCUUGUAUUCCCCUGUAUGAUCCUUUGUGUAGAUUGCUUUGUAGAAUUUGCCCAAAGUAUACAGGAAAGGUGAUGUGCAAGUGUUCUUUUUUUUAAGUUCUAUGUUUAUUUUAAUAACUAUUCAAUGAAAAUAUCUGUAUAGCAGUGGCUUAUCCUCUUGUGGAUAUUUUAGCUUACAGUAGGCCUGACAUAAAUAAAACCAUGAAUCCACCUUUCAUAUGAAUAAGAAGUACUGUGAUCAGGCCAUGGGCAUAAGGGCAGAAAUUUUGGAAGCAGUAUGCAAAUGACUGGAAUUUGGGAAUGACUUUGUUCAUAUGUUUCCUGUCACUAGAAAGUGAGCUCCAGCAAAGAACCCUUAUGUGCACCACUGCACCCACCAAGCCUGGUGCAUAAUGGGGCCUUCGUAAGGAUUUGUUGAAAGACUGGACAAGUGAUUGAAUGAACAAUUUAGUGACUCAACAAAAGCCCCUCCCAGUGACAUCAGGCCCGCCACAAGUCAGAUGAUUGGAAAGCAGGCUGAGAUUUGUCUUGAGGAUCAUUUUUCUGGUUGCACACAGUAGAUACAGAUUGAACUUGGUAGGCUUAGAACAUUCAGCUUUGGAUGCCCCGAAACUGUAGCAGCACGGAGCUGUAGGGGACCGUGGCAGUGCCUCUGGCAUCCUGGACAGGUAUUGUCACAGGCAGGGUUUCCCUGAGAAGCAGACUCUGUGAUGAAGAUUCGCAUGUAGGAGCUGUACUAGGGACCAUUGUGGAAAGGGAGGAAGCACGACAGGGCAGGAGGAGAAGUUGAGGCAGUCUCAGGGUGGAGGCCUCAGCUGACCUGAGAAGGUCUGAAGCUGGAAUAAUCCUUUGGAGUUGUCCAAAAUUGAGGCAAAGGGCCAGGCUGUUGUGCAUCUUUGACGAUCACCUUGGAGGGGUGUGCUCUUGAGCAAGGCAGCUCUCCUCACCAAGAUCAACUGCCUGCAGGCAAUGCUCUCAAACUGGGAAGGUCAUUUCUUUCUUUCUUUCUUCCUUUUUGUUUAACUGAAGUAUAGUUGAUUUACAACGUUAGGUUAAUUUCUGGUGUGCAGUGAAGUGAUUCCAUUAAUAUGCAUUCUUUUAAAUAUUCUUUUCCAUUGUGUUUUAUGACAGGAUGUUGAAUAUAUUUCCUUGUGCUAUACAGUAGGAUCUUGUUGCUUAUCCAUCUUAUAUGUAGUAGUUUGCGUCUCUUAACCCCAAAUUUCCACUCCACCCCCCGCCACUCUCCCUUGGCGACCACAAAUCUAUUCUCUAUAGAUUCGGUGUAUCUAUUUUUGUUCCAUAGAUUGGUUCAUUUGUAUCAUAUUUUAGAUUCCACAUAUAAGUGAUAUAAUAGAGUAUUUGCCUUUCUCUCUCUGACUGACUUCCGUUAGUAUGAGAAUCCCUACUUCCAUCCGUGUUGUUGCAAAUGGCAUUGUUUUGUUUCUUUAUGGCUGAGUAGUAUCCCAUUGUAUAUAUGUACCACCUCUUUUCUAUCCCUUUAUCUGUUGAUGGAUAUUUAGUUUGUUUCCAUGUUGUGGCUAUUGUGAAUAGGGCUUCUAUGAGCAUAGGGGGUGCAUGUAUCUAUUUGCCUGGGUAUGCCCAGAAGUGGAGUUGUUGGAUCAUACAGCAACUCUAUUUUUAGCUUUUUGAGGAAGCUCCAUACUGCUUUCCAUAGUGAUUGCACCAAAUUACAUGCCCAUCACCAGUGUCAGAGGGCUCCCUUUUCUCCACACACACUCUCCAGCAUUUGCUAUUUUUAGACAUUUUAAUGAUGGCUGUUCUUAGUGGUGUGAGGUGGUACCUCGCUGUAAUUUUGAUUUGCAUGUCUCUCAUUAGCGAUUCGAGCACCUUUUCAUGUGCCUCUUGGCUGUCUGUAUGUCUUAGGAGAAAAAUGUCUAUUUAGGUCUUCUGCUCAUUUUUCGAUUGGAUUGUCUCCUUUUUGUUGUUGCUGAGUUGUGUAUUUUGGAAAUUAAGCCCUUGUGGGUUGCAUCAUUUGCUGGGAGGGUCAUUUCUGGAGGGAGACCUGGACGAUGCCUCACAGUCAACUAUGGGUGCUUAGGUUCCGUGUGAAAAUCCCCAAGAAUGGCCGAUAUCAACCACUGUCUGGGGAUUUGCUUCAACAAUAAUUGGAGUGGCUAUCAUUGUUAGAAAAGGUUUUUUUUCUUUGUACUGAACCAAAAACCUUGUCACAUUCCGAAUACCUGUACUCAUCUUGACUACCAGAGCAAGAAAAACAAAAGGACCUUUGAACCAUCUGAAGAGAGCCAUGCGAUUUUAUUUUAGCAUUUUUAAUAUGUCAUUGCAAUAUGAAUAGUUAAUAUUUGACCUAAGUUAAGUCUUCUCUUAACUGAACUCACCUAGUUUCCUCUGCAGUUUUGUUGUUAUUGUUAUGUGUUUUUUUCUGGCCCUGUCCUACUCGUCUUUUAGCUUCCACAUAACAUUUUUUAAAAUUUGAAAAACUUCAUUUACUAUGUAGCAUCUAAAAUGAGAUACAGUAGCCCAGGUGUGGACCAACCAGCUCAAAUUGCGACAGGACAGUUACAUAACGUAACCUCUGCCUCCCAGAUGUAUGCUUGGCCUCAGUUAAGAUUCUAUGUCUUAAUACCGUAUGAUAUCACUUAUAACUGGAAUCUAAUAUACAGCACAAAUGAACAUUUCCACAGAAAAGAAAAUCAGGGACUUGGAGAAUAGACUUGUGGCUUCCCCGGGGGGGAGAGGGAGGGAGUGGGAGGGAUCAGGAGCUUGGGGUUAUCAGAUGCAACUUGGAAUGGAUUUACAAUGAGAUCGGGCUGAGUAGCACUGAGAAUUAUGUCUAGAUACUUAAACUGCAACAGAACAAACGGUGGGAAAAAAAAUGUAUACAUGUAAGUGUAACUUGGUCCCCAUGCUGUACAGUGGGAAAAAAAAUAA
rnacentral:lncRNA from 1 species